UUAACUUAUUUGUAUAUUACUCGGACAACACAAAAAUCAAGAGUUUGGGGUCCUCUGGCAGGCGCGGACCAGCCUAAGCCGGUGGUCAACAGACGGGCCUGCCAAAGCAACAUAGGUAAUGUAAACAAAGGGUGGGAGAUCUACCCCAAAGGGCAAUUUCUCUGUAAUGAUCCUUCCGCAGGUUCACCUACGGAAA
rnacentral:misc_RNA from 1 species